rnacentral:lncRNA from 1 species
GCCAGUUUAACAGCUGGGCAAUAGUAUAGACCAUUGCCUUAUUCUAAAUCCCAACUCCAGAGAAGACGUGUACCGCUAUCACAUAAUGCCAUGACCAGUGUGCUGACCUUGCUGUCCAAGGAAAAACUUCAUCUCCUGGCCCCAUAUUCUAGAAGACUGAAGAUUUCAUUCCAUGAAAGGUUUUCUUGCAACCUACAUAGCACUGGCUGGGCAAGCAGAAGUUCUGAGUCGCACUGCGCCUCCCAUGCCAGUGAAGGCAAACUUCUGGCAAAGAACACCAAUGUUAUCACAGCCCCCUGCUCACUGGCUUCUCAUCGUCCUUCCUGCAUCCUGGCCCUGCAGGAAAGCAUGAUAUACCUGGGGUUGUUGGGGAAGGGAAGCUUCUUGGUAUGAAAUGCAGUGGUACGAAAUUAAUGGUGGAGGCUUCUCAUCAGGUUGUUCUCACAGUGUAUGAGUACUCACAGCAGUGUUUUGAGGUUAUAAUCCCAGUAACAAAUUGAAACAGAAGCUUUCACUGAGAAGCAUUAGAAGACAUAAAAUCAAGGUAUUGAAAAGGAUGGAGCUCAAGUGAUAUAGACAGUAAAACUUCUAAUUUAUGUGUAAGUUCCACAGGCUUACACUGCACUGCAAGGAAUAAAAAAUCUUGAACUGUGUUGUAUGUUUUCA